AGGUCUCCAGGUAUAAGAACUUUCAAUGACUUUAUCUCUUUUCCAUCUCGUGGUCGUUUUGCCAGGUAGAUGCCAUUGUUACCAAUCUCAGUUCAUAGUUUAGAAACUGAGAUCCAGAGAGGUUGCUGAGCUCCCCCAAGACCAUGGAACCCCCAUGGUGUUGAAGCUUGUGAUUCUCUGAGCGAAUCUUAAGUCUGGAGCAGGCUUGUGGAGAGGACACCAUGAAACACCUGCUAGAAAUGUGGCUCUUACGCCGCUUGCGAAUAUGCAAUCUCAGAUGCCACAAGUGAAAAGCUAAGGACUCUUUUUUUUUUUUUCAUUUUUAAAAAUUGAGGUGCGUUUUCAUCAGCUUUUUUUUUUUUUUCUGCUGUGACUAAAAGACCUGACCAGAACAAUUGUAAUGGUGCAAAAGUUUAUAUAGGGUCUCAUGAUUUCAGAGGUCUCAGUCCAUAGACAGCAGUCUCCAUUCCUUGGGGCUUGAGGUGAGGCAGGACAUCAUGGCAGAGACCAGCUCACACAUAGAAGCAGAGAAAGAGAGGUGUCCACUUGCGAUGCAAAUAUAGACCCCAAAGCCACGCCCCCAAUUCUCACCUCCUCCAGCCACACCCCGUCUGCCUUCAGUUACCACAUAAUCAAUCCCAUCAGGAGAUUAAUUCACUGAUUGGGUUAAGGCUCUUGAGAGCCAAUUAUUUCUCCUCUGAACCUUCUUGCGGUGUCUCACACAUGAGAUUUGGGGGGACACCUCAUAACAAGGUGUAAGUUCAUAAAGGUCCCAUUUCCAGCCCAACCUCUUUCAGGGUAACUGCUGAUCAAGAUUCUAGCUCAGAGGCUAAUUUCAAGAUUUUUUUUUCCUCUCUCUCUUUCUCUCUCUCUCUCGUCAUUUAAAAUAUCAAACAACUCAACAAAUGAUGUUUUUUUCAUAAGACUCACUUAUCUUUGUAAUAAACUGAGCAACACAGCACCCUCUACCUCAGAUUAUUCCCACAUCUGGAAUGAACUUUCGCCAGGUAGCCAUGUGCCUUAUCCACCUCCGUCAAGUUUUGUUUGAAUUCCUUCUUUUCAACCAGGUCUGGCUUGAACAGACCAUUCAAAGUUGCAAUCCCAGCCCUGGUGGUCCACGCUUACUUCUCAGCAUUUCCCACUAUCUGAUGCUGUGGGUGUGGUUUGCCUCCUCUGAAGCUCAUGUUGGAGUUUAAUCACCAGAGGAUAGAAAUGAUCCAGAUGCAGUGGCCUACUCCUGUAAUCCCAGCUACUCAGGAGGCUGAGAUGGAGGCCAGCCUCAGCAAUUUAGUGAUACCAUGUAUCAAAAUAAAAACUGAAAAGGGCUGGAGAUGUAGCUCAGUGGUAGAGUGUCCCUGGGUUUAAUCUCAGUAUUGGAAGAUAAAGAAAAGAUAGAAGCUUAUUCUGAUUUUGGUAUUUAGAGGUAGGCAUUUGGGAGGUGAUUAGGGUCAGAUCAGGACAUCAGGGUGGAACCCCGCCCCCCUGCCCCCGGUUGAAUGAAUGAAUAAGAAGAGAAAGGAGACUUGCACACAUAUAUGACCUCUCCAUGUCUUGCCAUGUGAUGCCCUGCAUCACCUUGGGACUCUUCCAGCAAGGUCAUCACCAGGUGCAGCCCCUUGACUUUGGACCAGAACUGUGAGCUGAAACAAACCUCUUUUCAUUAUAACUUACCCAGGAUUUGGGUCUGUGUUACAGAAACAGAAAACUCUCAAAUACACUGAAUCCAGUUUUCCUUAUUUGUUUCUUCUCAUCUCUGCCCAGUAGAAAUGAGCUUUCCCAGAGAGGAUUGUUGUAGUCCUCAGUUCAUUGUUUAUCACCGUCCCACACCCCCACAAUAGUAUUUGCUGCUUAGUAUCUCCUCCGUUAAUAUUUGUUUAAGAAGUGAACAUCCGGUAGACCCACUAAAACACUUGAGCAAAUGAGACCUGAAACUUAAACACUCACUUCUAAUUCAGAAUGUUAAAAAUAACUGCAUCCAUCCAUUCUAUUGGGAAUUACAAACUCAUUCUUCAACAGGUCGCCAUAACUUUUAAUUGUGAACAGAGAAACUCGAAAAUCUUUGGAAUCAAAAGGAACCCUGGCUCUGCCAAUCCCUAAUUAUAUGAACGUGGGCACAUUAGUUUACUUUCUCGGGCCUUAGUUUCUUCUCAGUUGAAAAAUGAGAAUAGUCACAUCUGUUUCAUAGGACAGCUGUGAACAUUAUGCAAAGCACCACUCAGUAAGUAGAAAUGGUAUUAUUACAGUGUUCUCAGUCAUGUCAGCAUCACAUGGCUCAUACCUUUGCACAGUGACAGGGGCUAGUCUUGCCCAUGAAACUGCAGCUAGAAAGGAGGAUUUUUUCUGUUUAUUUGUUGUUGGUUUUUGUUUGUUAUGUUUGUUUUGUUACCAGGGAUCAAACCCAGGGGCACUCAACCGCUGAGCCACAUCCCCAGCCCCUUUGAGAUAGUUGUUUUGCACUGAGUUUCUUAGUGCCUCACUAAGUUGCUGAGGCUGGCUUUGA
rnacentral:lncRNA from 1 species